AGCGAACGCUGGCGGCGUGCCUAACACAUGCAAGUCGAACGUGAAAAGGGAAACCUGAGUAAAGUGGCGUACGGGUGAGUAACGCGUAGGUAAUCUACCCCAGAAUCUGGAAUAACCUGCCGAAAGGCGGGCUAAUACUGGAUAGAGCGAGGGAACUCGUAAGAGAGUUUUUCGGGAAAGGGAGCCCGCAAGGGCCUUCGUUCUGGGAUGAGCCUGCGUCUCAUUAGCUAGUUGGUAAGGUAACGGCUUACCAAGGCGAUGAUGAGUAGCUGGUCUGAGAGGAUGAUCAGCCACACUGGAACUGAAACACGGUCCAGACUCCUACGGGAGGCAGCAGUGGGGAAUCUUGCGCAAUGGACGAAAGUCUGACGCAGCCACGCCGCGUGAGUGAAGAAGGCCUUCGGGUUGUAAAGCUCUGUCGGAUGGGACGAACAUCUUCAUAGUGAAUAGCUAUGAGGACUGACGGUACCAGCAAAGGAAGCACCGGCUAACUCCGUG
rnacentral:rRNA from 1 species